rnacentral:rRNA from 1 species
CCUACGGGUGGCAGCAGUGAGGAAUAUUGGUCAAUGGGCGCGAGCCUGAACCAGCCAAGUAGCGUGAAGGAUGACUGCCCUACGGGUUGUAAACUUCUUUUAUAGAGGAAUAGAGUGAGGCACGUGUGCCUUUUUGUAUGUACUUUAUGAAUAAGGAUCGGCUAACUCCGUGCCAGCAGCCGCGGUAAUACGGAGGAUGCGAGCGUUAUCCGGAUUUAUUGGGUUUAAAGGGAGCGUAGAUGGGUUGUUAAGUCAGUUGUGAAAGUUUGGGGCUCAACCGUAAAAUUGCAAUUGAUACUGGCAGUCUUGAGUAUAGUUGAGGUAGGCGGAAUUCGUGGUGUAGCGGUGAAAUGCGUAGAUAUCACGAAGAAUUCCGAUUGCGAAGGCAGCCUACUAAACUGCCACUGACAUUGAUGCUCGAAAGUGUGGGUAUCAAACAGGAUUAGAUACCCUAGUAGUC